rnacentral:rRNA from 1 species
GACGAACGCUGGCGGCGUGCUUAACACAUGCAAGUCGAACGGUGAACCGGGCUUCGGCCCGGGGAUCAGUGGCGAACGGGUGCGUAACACGUGGGCAACCUGCCUCAGACACUGGGAUAACCCCGGGAAACGGGGCUAAUCCCGGAUACUCCGACCGGACUGCAUGAUCCGGCCGGGAAAGCUCCGACGGUCUGAGAUGGGCCCGCGGCCUAUCAGCUUGUUGGUGGGGUAACGGCCCACCAAGGCGACGACGGGUAGCUGGUCUGAGAGGACGACCAGCCACACUGGAACUGAGACACGGUCCAGACUCCUACGGGAGGGCAGCAGUGGGGAAGUCUUGCGCAAUGGGCGAAAGCCCUGACGCAGCGACGCCGCGUGGGGAUGAAGGCCCUCGGGUUGUAAACCCCUUUCGGCAGGACGAAGCGAACGUGACGGUACCUGCAGAAGAAGUCCCGGCUAACUACGUGCCAGCAGCCGCAGU